UACGUAGGGGGCAAGCGUUGUCCGGAUUUAUUGGGCGUAAAGAGCGUGUAGGCGGCCGUACAGGUCAGCUGUGAAAACUCGAGGCUCAACCUCGAGACGUCGGUUGAAACCGUACGGCUAGAGUCCGGAAGAGGAGAGUGGAAUUCCCGGUGUAGCGGUGAAAUGCGCAGAUAUCGGGAAGAACACCCGUGGCGAAGGCGGCUCUCUGGGACGGUACUGACGCUGAGACGCGAAAGCGUGGGGAGCCGAACGAGG
rnacentral:rRNA from 1 species